rnacentral:snRNA from 1 species
UUUUACAAUAUACUAAAAUUGGAGCAUUAUAGAGAAGAUUAACAUGGCCUGUGCACAGAGAGGACAUGCAAAUUCAUAGACUACUCCAUAUUUUU